CAUUAGAUAGCUUAAAGUAAGUCUUGGAAUUUUAAACCAAUUUAUAGUAUUUAACGUCUACUUCUAAUGA
rnacentral:tRNA from 1 species